GGUGGCACCGCCCGCCCGCCCUUCGCUCCCCCGCGGCAGUGUCGCCUCAUCUGCACCCUCGCUUUCACCUCGCGAAAUGGACAAAGUGAAAACGCGGGAAGGCGACCUCGCCACCUGGCCCUCCCCUCCAUCGCCCCCUCGUCCUGUCCCAGGGUUGGACACAAAGGCAAGGAGGGAACUGAGGCAGGGUCAUUCUGUGGGGCGCCGGCAGGCAAGGCAGGGGCUCAAACAGCCAAGGCUGAAGUGUCGCCCCCGCCAUGAAACCCCAGGCAGCCCCAUUUGUGAGCCGCGCGGGUGACGCAGCCGCUCGGCCCGGCGCCUCUUCCCUCCCGCGGGGCCAGCGCGCGCACGCGCACACUCACACGCCGCGCACACACCCCCCUCGCCUCCCCUCUCCUACCCUAGCUGCGCCUACCCUAGAGCGGGCUUCGGGGAAGUUCCCGGCGGCCUUGGGGUGUGAAGAGAGCCCCGGGAGACGGAAGCCGGCGGCGAGAGCUGGCUCCCAGGCCGAGGGGGUGGCCGGGUGCAGGAAACCGGCCAACCUGCCACACUCCUGCCCCAGCAGGGGAUAGAGAGCGACCCUGAGCUCCACUCCAUCCCAUCAAACCCGGAGACUUGAGCCAUAAACUCACAGAGCAGUCACUUUCCGGAAAUGAUAUGGCUCCGAGGCCAGAGUAAGAAAUAUCCAUGCCUUAGUCAACAACGUGAACACAUCUGAAGGAUGCCUCAACCAGAAGCAGGAGAGUCAGCCUACAAAGAAGCAACUUCAGAAGUUCCACAGAGAGCGAGAGAGCACAGCAGGGAGAGCAGCAGAGGGAGAGGGAGAAGCAGGCUCCCCACUGAGCAGGGAGCCGGACGCAGGGCUCGAUCCCAGGACCUCGGGAUCAUGACCUGAGCCGAAGGAAGAUGCUUAUCCGACUGAGCCACCCAGGCACCCCGCGUAUGACCUAAUUCUAACUGUAAGCUCACUAACUAAAAACUGACAAACUGAUUCUGGCUUAUACUAUGUCUCUCUCAUAAACGUAGAGCUAUGGCUUCUCUCUUGCUUUGUUGACUAAAACCACAUUUUUGAGCCUGCAGCUUAAGAGCAAAAAUCUUAACAGGGCGUCUGGAUGGCUGGGUUGGUUGAGCAUCCAAAUCUUGAUUUUGGCUCAGGUCAUGAUCUUAGGGUCCUGAGAUCGAGCCCCCUGUGGGGCUUCAGGCUCAGCACAGAGUCUGCUUCAGGUUCUCUCUCUCCCUCUCUGUCCUUCUCCCCCUGCUUGUGCUUUCUCAGUAAAUAAAUAAAUAAAUAAAUAAAUAAAUAAAUAAAUAAAUAAAUAAAUAAAAUCUUAAAAAAAAAAGGCAAAAAUCUUAUGUCAUUCUGAGUUCAGUCUGGGAGCUGACAGCAUCUAAUCUUAUGCCCUGGCCAUACUCCCUUCCUCAGAGCUGCACAUUUGUUCCCAUCAAUGCUUCUCCCUUAGAUUAGAAGCUCCUCAUGGGCAAAGAUUAGGACUCUAUGAACUCGGGGCGCCUGGGUGGCUCAGUUGGUUGGGCAUCUGCCUUGGGCUUGGGUCAUGAUUCCAGGGUCCUGGGAUCGAGUCCCACAUCGGGCUCCCUGCUCAGUGGGGAGCCUGCUUCUCCCUCUGCCUCUAGCGCUUCUCCCUGCUCAUGCUCUGUCUCUCACACUCUCUCAAGUAAAUAAAUAAAAUCUUAAAAAAAAAAAGGAGGGGCACCUGGGUGGCUCAGUGGGUUAAGCACCUGCCUUCGGCUCAGGUUAUGACCCCAGGGUCCUGGGAUCGAGUCCCGAGUCGGGCUCCCUGCUCAGUGGGGAGCCUGCUUCUCCCUCUCCCUCUGCCUGCCGCUCUGCCUAUCUGUGCUCGCUCUCUAUGUCUCUGUCAAAUAAAUAAAUACAAAUCUUGAAAAAAAAAGGACUCUAUGAACUCAUUCUGCGCUGUAAAGGUAAUGAGACUUUUCAUUAAUAUUAAAUAUUUGUAUGUUCUUUCAACCUAAGAAACUACUAAUACAUAUACUCUGGAGUAAAAAUUCAUCAUAAUCGGGGACGUGUUCAAGUGAAAAAGAGGGUCAUGUAACAUGAUUAAGAGCGGGCGGUGGCGACCUACAGCCCAUUUGUAAAUAAAGCUUUAUUGGGACACCACCAUGCCCAUUCCGUACGUAUGACCUACGGCUGCGCUUGUGCUCUGUGCCAGAGUUGAGUUGUUGUGACAGACUGUACAGCUCAUGACGUGUAAGAUGUUUACUACUGGUGUCAGCUUCUUGAUGCUGAAAUUGUGGCUCCUUCUCCAGCUUCACGAUCUUAGAGCACGGAGAUAAAAGUACGCACUUUAUAGGUUGUUGUGAGAAUUGAAUGAGUAAAUACCUAAGGGCCUCAUUCACAUCCAGCACUCAAGUAAUUGCAGCUAUUACUAUCAUCAUCAUCAUCGUCAUCUGCAUCUGCAUCAUCACCUGCCUGUGGCUACAUGAGAGUCCCGGUGGUUUGGGAAUGAUACAAGAAAGCAGCUGAAAACAGGUGCUCAAGAAAUGGGAAGGAGCUCAGGCGGCUUAUGAAUAGUGGGGGAAGAAAAAAAAUGACAAAUGGAAGAAAGCGAGAGGGAGAAAUAACGUUGCCCCUUUAAAAAAUGUCUGUCUUUUAGACAGAUCUUAAAUUCUCUUUUGUAUGAAUACUUUCAUUCUUUUAAACCCAAACGUAAAACCAGAAUUCGGAAACGUUGCAAAUGGAAUGUACUCAUCAUUUCUAUAGAUAAGCAAUGUGGCUGACAAAUGUAUGCGAAGUGAUUAAAAAUAAAACCACAAAAUACACUACAAAAAAUGGUUUCUUACGUAUCUUUCAAUACCUUUUGC